CAUAAAUGUCUCCAGCCCCGCAAGGUAUUCUUUCGUCACUCUCCCGUUAGCAUCUCUAUGCAUAUACAUCCAAUUCCGCAACUCGUAAAUAGUCCCAGAGCCAGCCAUUUUUUUUUCUUUCACGUUUUUUGUUGUUGGUGUGUUUAAAAUGAUGUUCCAACAUCCAUAUUUAUAGAAAAUUUCGAAUCUGGUAGUUGUAAUUUUACUAUGAAAUUACGAUGAAAAUUUAUUGUAUGGCCAAAAAUAAACGUGAGCCACCUACCAAGUUGGUGGAUUCAAAAUUUCCUCGUUAAGUACACGUAAAAUAUUUCGUCGUAAGCACUCGCGAAAUUUACGUGGCUUUUACGAGGAAAAACUAUUUCCUCGUAAAAGCCACGUCAAUUUACAUCGUCUUUACGACGAAUAUGUUUUGUCGUUACCUUACGACGAAAUAACGAUGCUUUUCUUUCUCCACGUACUUUCCUCGCAAAAUCAACGUUUUUUUACGAGGAUUAUUUUUCCUCGUUAAACUUCCUCGUUAAAGUUACGUUUUCUUGUAGUGAUGUCAUAAAACAGUUGUGUAAUACGAAAAUAUUAUAUAUCUAUAGUAUUUGAAUAUAUAUAAAUUCAAGAUUUUAUUUAUAAAAAUGACAUUCGAGCGAAUGCACGAAUCAAAGUUUAGUCUAUCUUAUUAAAAUAGAAGUAUUUUUAAGAAUUGUUUGGGAACAUUGAUAUCAAUUUAAAAAAAAAGAAUAUAAUGUCGUUUGGAAAUAUAAAUAAUGUUAAAAAAGGGCUUAUAUUAUUAAGAAAAAUUAGAAGUAUAUUAUAUUAUUAGAAACUAUCUAUCUAAGCCAGUUUUAAAAUAUACAAAAAUGGUCCAAUCUAAUUAAGGGGAAUUGCCACAAAUACCACUUUCAAUGUACCACUUUUCAUUAAUACCUUAACCAAUUUUACCAUUAAAAUUUUAAUAGGCAAAAUACAAUUAUACCCCUAUCUAAUUAAAACUACAACUAUUAUCUUCUUCUCCACUAUCCGAUAAUCAAUCCGACGAGAUCCGGUGAUUCUGACGAGUUUUCCGGCGAGCUUUGACAACGAAGACGAGCUCUCUUGUGAAAUCUGACGAUGCUGAUGAGUUCUCUGGCGAAACACGAAUGAGACGAUCUCUCUCCUGAUGCUGAUGAGUUUCCGGUGAGAUAUGACGACGCUAACGAGUUUUCCGGCGAGAUCUGACGAUGCCGAGAAGUUCUACGGCAAAGCUGACAGACUCGACAAGCUCAGACGAACGAGACGAUCUCUCUCCCAACGCCUAAGAAACACUAACAAAGGUAAGAUGAUAGUAUAUGGUGAUUUUUGCCUCUUUCUGUAAUUUUAGCUUGAUUUAUCAAAAUCGAUAUGUUUCUAAGAAAGAAGACGAAGUUUUUCAAGUGAAGUUUUCAGAUCUCAAAUUUAUAAGAUCUUAUAAAUUGGGUCCUUUCAAAUCUUACUGUUGAUCUGUUAGCAAUCAAAAGACACAAAGCUUAACGUAAGAGUACAAUUAUUGAUUUGGUUGAUUUAUUGUCAUAGUUUUCAGAUUUAUAUAAUUAUUUAAUUCAUGAGAAGGUACUAACCUAAGAGUAUAAUUAUUCCAUGAUUACUUCUUCUCUUGGUUGAUUUGGUGAUGUUGCAGAGAAUUACAAAUGUGUGUUGUCAGCUUUUGGAUUUAAAGGAUGUUGUGGAGAAUAUGUGUGGUGAUAUGCAUAUCUAAGUAUCUCACUUCCUUAAGAAGCAGUGGAGAUGAAGGAUGAGUUUGUUGAGUUACGAAAGCAUACUAUUUUUGAAUCUUAUUUUGGAAGUGAAUGCUGAUGCGUAGAAAUAAUAUGUGACUGGCUUUUGUUCAGAUUUUGAAAAUUUACGAGGUUGGUGAGCUGUUUGAAGAGGCAAGAGAGACUCUGAAGAAGAAUGUGGUUUGUGCUAUCAAAGAAUUACGUAUUUAUAACGCUUUAUAAAAGUUGCAGAGUUGGCUUCUUAGUACAUUCUUCUCUCUCAUCUUCUUUAGACAUCUCUUAUACUAAAACAAUUGUAUCUCUCUUUUAGUAGUUGCAUAGUUGAAGAUAUUAGUUGGACAUGUAAGUGAGUUUGGUUUCAA